UCUCUCUCUCUCUCUCUCUCUAAACUGUUCCAGUUGACUUGUUUGCCACUGUAUGAUCAACAUUUUGCUGUUGUUCUUCCUGUGUCACAGCCCUUCCAUCUGUAUUUCCAUUACAAUCUUGUCUUUGAGUCUUCCCAUCCAAUUUCUCUUUUGGAGAAGCACAUGUAACAGGAUUUGAUUUCCCUGUUCCGUCCUCCUUCUCUGGCAGUGAUGUUGUCUCCACAGGAAGGUUUAUUUCAGUUGUAGUCAAUGGUAUCUGGGGAGAUGAUGCGUUACCAGAACCUGGUGGAGGAAGGAAAACACCAGUGCCCGGGACAGGGACAGGGAAACGAUUUGGAGGAUGCCUUAGGGGAGCUGCUGGCCAUCCAGUUGAAACAGAUGGGAUAGGAACUGGAGCAGGGAAAGGCAUCGGAGCUGCAACAGGGGUAGUCACAAAGAGUGGUUGAACACCAUUUGGCGGGCGGAUUUGUGGCUGAAUGGCUGGUGCUGGCAAUACACCAGUGGUUGGAAUUGCUGGAUAAUGCUUGGGUACAGGAUGGCGAAUGUGAUUUGGUGAUCUACUUGGUGGUGGACCCCAGUGGGGAGAUGAGGCUGCAGCAAGGGAAGGUAGCCGGUGGCCAUCACUUUGUGCAAACUUUUUGGGUUGGGAUUUUGUGAAGGUAACAAGUAUGCGUUGUUUUCGGAUUGCAGGAAUUGCAUGUUUAGCAAAAUCAGUGGAUUUGCCUUGCAUCACAAGGAGGGAUCUGUUGUCAUAACCAAAGAAUGCUAUAUCAACGACUAAGAACUAAUAAGGCUAUCAGGGACUAAGAACUAUGUGCUCAAUCUCUAAAUAUACUCAAGAAGAAUAAAUGUGGAAGAGAAAUAUAUACAGUUCCAAUUCACCUUCCCAUGAUAUACAUCAUCCAAGUGUAGGUAAAUUUUAAACUAUGAAAAAAUAAUGCAAUUUUAGAAAGCUAACAACAGCAAUAAGGAACUAGAUGAACCAUUUCUACUGACAAGUAAUGCUAAGAAUGAUUACCCAGGUGCAAGAGGCAGCUUGAGAGAGCCUUUGUAAUCCCCAGGAUGGUCUGCUGAGAUUACUCUUCCAAAAGUCAGGUCACAUUCUGUCAAGAAAAGCAUAGAAAUAGGCUUGCCAAACCAUGGAGGCCACAAGUGAGGCUGUGAGUGAUCACCCUAUGGAAAGUUUCCACCAAAAGAUUAGCCUAGCUUGCAUAAUUAAUGUUUAUUCUGAAUCACUACAAAGAAUAAUAUAGUAAGCAACCUCAUUAUAUAUGUCAAUUAUGCAAGCGUCGGGCUUCAUGGUAAUUAUCUGCUUGCUUACAAAACCAUCAAUGACAUCUUGCAGCAUGGUUGGGAUGGAUUCUACUCUGCGGUCUGAAAAAUUUUUUCAAGCAUUCCAAAUUUUGAUAAAAGAGGAAAGCAUCAACAACAAAUGUUUAUUCAAUAUCAUUGGGAGAAACAAAAUUUUGCUCAUCUUAUAUUUACACAAGAAUAUAAAAUGAGUUUUAUGUAAGAUGUAACAUGCCUUUAGAACUCCCUGCAGCAUUUUCAUCUUCUGCAGGUGCAUCUGCUAUGGGAAGACCCAGCUGAAUCAUCUCUCUUCCAUGUCCUUUCAUAGGUCUCUUUGAGACCACAUAUGUCUGACCUGGUUCUCCACAAACAAUAAUUUAGCAGUGAUUUAUAUAUAAAAUAAAAGCAGAUACCUUUGACACAUAUAAAACAGAGAGGAAAGGACUCCAACAAAGCAAGAAAUGAUAACAUGAGAGAAAGAUAAGCUAUAUUUUAAUUAAAAAUAAGUUGUACAUUUCGUGACACUCCAUGCAUAUUGCACAUACAAGAAGGAUGAGCAAUUGUUGGUGAGAAUGUUAGUAGCAGCAUCAAUCUUUUCCACAGGUCAUCUCCUACAGAUAGGGCUGAGCAGAAUUCGGUUCAAACCGAAAAACCGAACCGAACCGAUUAAUUCGGUUCAAUCGGUUCGGUUUUAAAAUUUAAUCGGUUCGGUUCGGUUUAUAAUUUUGAUAAUUUCGGUUUAAUCGGUUCGGUUCGGUUAUUUUC
rnacentral:misc_RNA from 1 species